rnacentral:rRNA from 1 species
AUUGAACGCUGGCGGCAUGCCUUACACAUGCAAGUCGAACGGUAACGGGCCUUCGGGUGCCGACGAGUGGCGAACGGGUGAGUAAUGUAUCGGAACGUACCUUUCAGUGGGGGAUAACGUAGCGAAAGUUACGCUAAUACCGCAUAUUCUGUGCGCAGGAAAGCAGGGGGAUCGCAAGACCUUGCGCUGAUUGAGCGGCCGAUAUCAGAUUAGCUAGUUGGUGAGGUAAAGGCUCACCAAGGCGACGAUCUGUAGCGGGUCUGAGAGGAUGAUCCGCCACACUGGAACUGAGACACGGUCCAGACUCCUACGGGAGGCAGCAGUGGGGAAUUUUGGACAAUGGGGGCAACCCUGAUCCAGCCAUGCCGCGUGAGUGAAGAAGGCCUCGGUUGUAAG